rnacentral:rRNA from 1 species
UUAAAACAAGCUUUUAAGAGCAGAUGGCGGAUGCCUUGCCAAAGAGAGGCGAUGAAGGACGUACUAGACUGCGAUAAGCUAUGCGGAGCUGUCAAGGAGCUUUGAUGCGUAGAUGUCCGAAUGGGGCAACCCAACUAAUAGAGAUAUUAGUUACUCUUUAAAUAGAGAGCGAACCUAGUGAAGUGAAACAUCUCAGUAACUAGAGGAAAAGAAAUCAACGAGAUUCCCUAAGUAGUGGCGAGCGAACGGGGAAAAGGGCAAACCGAGUGCUUGCAUUCGGGGUUGAGGACUGCAACAUCCAAGAAAACGCUUUAGCAGAGUUACCUGGAAAGGUAAGCCAUAGAAAGUGAUAGCCUUGUAUGCGACAAGGCGUUUUCAGGUAGCAGGAUCCAGAGUAGGCCAGGACACGAGGAAUCCAGGUUGAAGCCGGGGAGACCACUCUCCAACCCUAAAUACUACUCUUUGAGCGAUAGCGAACAAGUACCGUGAGGGAAAGGUGAAAAGAACCGCAGUGAGCGGAGUGAAAUAGAACCUGAAACCAUCUGCUUACAAUCAUUCAGAGCCCUAUGAUUUAUCAGGGUGAUGGACUGCCUUUUGCAUAAUGAUCCUGCGAGUUGUGGUGUCUGGCAAGGUUAAGCGAAUGCGAAGCCGUAGCGAAAGCGAGUCUUAAUAGGGCGAUCAAGUCAGAUGCUGCAGACCCGAAGCUAAGUGAUCUAUCCAUGGCCAAGUUGAAACGCGUGUAAUAGCGCGUGGAGGACUGAACUCGUACCCAUUGAAACGGGUUGGGAUGAGCUGUGGAUAGGGGUGAAAGGCCAAACAAACUUAGUGAUAGCUGGUUCUCUUCGAAAUAUAUUUAGGUAUAGCCUCAAGUGAUAAUAAAAGGGGGUAGAGCUCUGAUUGGGCUAGGGCUGCUCGCCGCGGUACCAAACCCUAUCAAACUUCGAAUACCUUUUAUCGUAUCUUGGGAGUCAGGCGGUGGGUGAUAAAAUCAAUCGUCAAAAGGGGAACAACCCAGACUACCAAAUAAGGUCCCUAAGUUCUAUUCUGAGUGGAAAAAGAUGUGUGGCUACUCAAACAACCAGGAGGUUGGCUUAGAAGCAGCCAUCCUUUAAAGAAAGCGUAACAGCUCACUGGUCUAGUGGUCAUGCGCUGAAAAUAUAACGGGGCUAAGAUAGACACCGAAUUUGUAGAUUGUGUUAAACACAGUGGUAGAAGAGCGUUCAUACCAGCGUUGAAGGUAUACCGGUAAGGAGUGCUGGAGCGGUAUGAAGUGAGCAUGCAGGAAUGAGUAACGAUAAGAUAUAUGAGAAUUGUAUCCGCCGUAAAUCUAAGGUUUCCUACGCGAUGGUCGUCAUCGUAGGGUUAGUCGGGUCCUAAGCCGAGUCCGAAAGGGGUAGGUGAUGGCAAAUUGGUUAAUAUUCCAAUACCGACUAUGGAGCGUGAUGGGGGGACGCAUAGGGUUAAGCGAGCUAGCUGAUGGAAGCGCUAGUCUAAGGGCGUAGAUUGGAGGGAAGGCAAAUCCACCUCUGUAUUUGAAACCCAAACAGGCUCUUUGAGUCCUUUUAGGACAAAGGGAGAAUCGCUGAUACCGUCGUGCCAAGAAAAGCCUCUAAGCAUAUCCAUAGUCGUCCGUACCGCAAACCGACACAGGUAGAUGAGAUGAGUAUUCUAAGGCGCGUGAAAGAACUCUGGUUAAGGAACUCUGCAAACUAGCACCGUAAGUUCGCGAUAAGGUGUGCCACAGCGAUGUGGUCUCAGCAAAGAGUCCCUCCCGACUGUUUACCAAAAACACAGCACUUUGCCAACUCGUAAGAGGAAGUAUAAGGUGUGACGCCUGCCCGGUGCUCGAAGGUUAAGAGGAUGCGUCAGUCGCAAGAUGAAGCGUUGAAUUGAAGCCCGAGUAAACGGCGG